GGGAUACCACUUGGAAACAGGUGCUAAUACCGGAUAACAACAAUAGCUGCAUGGCUAUUGCUUAAAAGGCGGCGAAAGCUGUCGCUAAAGGAUGGACCCGCGGUGCAUUAGCUAGUUGGUAAGGUAAUGGCUUACCAAGGCGACGAUGCAUAGCCGAGUUGAGAGACUGAUCGGCCACAUUGGGACUGAGACACGGCCCAAACUCCUACGGGAGGCAGCAGUAGGGAAUCUUCCACAAUGGGCGAAAGCCUGAUGGAGCAACGCCGCGUGAGUGAAGAAGGUUUUCGGAUCGUAAAGCUCUGUUGUUGGUGAAGAAGGAUAGAGGUAGUAACUGGCCCCUAUUUGACGGUAAUCAACCAGAAAGUCACGGCUAACUACGUGCCAGCAGCCGCGGUAAUACGUAGGUGGCAAGCGUUGUCCGGAUUUAUUGGGCGUAAAGCGAGCGCAGGCGGAAAGAUAAGUCUGAUGUGAAAGCCCCCGGCUUAACCGAGGAAUUGCAUCGGAAACUGUGUUUCUUGAGUGCAGAAGAGGAGAGUGGAACUCCAUGUGUAGCGGUGGAAUGCGUAGAUAUAUGGAAGAACACCAGUGGCGAAGGCGGCUCUCUGGUCUGUAACUGACGCUGAGGCUCGAAAGCAUGGGUAGCGAACAGGAUUAGAUACCCUGGUAGUCCAUGCCGUAAACGAUGAGUG
rnacentral:rRNA from 1 species